GUGGGGAAUAUUCCGCAAUGGACGAAAGUCUGACGGAGCAACGCCGCGUGAGUGAUGAAGGUUUUCGGACUGUAAAGCUCUGUUGUUUAGGACGAAAGUGCCUGUUGCAAAUAGUUACAGGUAUUGACGGUACUGAACGAGGAAGCCACGGCUAACUACGUGCCAGCAGCCGCGGUAAUACGUAGGUGGCAAGCGUUGUCCGGAAUUAUUGGGCGUACAGAGCAUGUAGGCGGGAAUCUAAGUCUGUUGUGACAAUGCGGGGCUCAACCCCGUAUUGCGAUGGAAACUGGGUUUCGUGAGUGCAGGGGAGGAAAGGGGAAUUCCCAGUGUAGCGGUGAAAUGCGUAGAUAUUGGGAGGAACACCAGUGGCGAAGGCGCCUUUCUGGACUGUGUCUGACGCUGAGAUGCGAAAGCCAGGGUAGCGAACGGGAUUAGAUACCCCGGUAGUCC
rnacentral:rRNA from 1 species